AUUGAACGCUGGCGGCGUGCUUAACACACGCAAGUCGAUCGGUAACAGGUGUAGCAAUACAUGCUGACGAGAGGCGGACGGGUGAGUAAUGCUUGGGAAUCUGCCUAUUAGUGGGGGACAACCCGGGGAAACUCGGGCUAAUACCGCAUACGCUCUACGGAGGAAAGCCGGGGACCGCAAGGCCUGGCGCUAAUAGAUGAGCCCAAGUCGGAUUAGCUAGUUGGUAGGGUAACGGCCUACCAAGGCAACAAUCCGUAGCUGGUCUGAGAGGACGACCAGCCACACCGGAACUGAGACACGGUCCGGACUCCUACGGGAGGCAGCAGUGGGGAAUAUUGGACAAUGGGGGCAACCCUGAUCCAGCGACGCCGCGUGGGUGAAGAAGACCUGCGGGUUGUAAAGCCCUUUUCGGGUGGGGAAGAAAAGUCUCGACCUAAUACGUCGGGACCUUGACGUAACCCACUAAAGAAGCACCGGCUAACUCUGUGCCAGCAGCCGC
rnacentral:rRNA from 1 species